GUAACAGGGGAGCUUGCUCCCGCUGACGAGUGGCGAACGGGUGAGUAAUGCAUCGGAACGUGCCGAAUAGUGGGGGAUAACGCACCGAAAGGUGUGCUAAUACCGCAUACGCCCUGAGGGGGAAAGUGGGGGACCGCAAGGCCUCACGCUAAUUGAGCGGCCGAUGUCGGAUUAGCUAGUUGGUGGGGUAAAGGCUCACCAAGGCGACGAUCCGUAGCGGGUCUGAGAGGAUGAUCCGCCACACUGGGACUGAGACACGGCCCAGACUCCUACGGGAGGCAGCAGUGGGGAAUUUUGGACAAUGGGGGAAACCCUGAUCC
rnacentral:rRNA from 1 species